UACGAGGAGGUGACAGCUGUCGUGAAUUAUUGGGCGUAAAGAGCUCGUAGGCGGCUUGUCACGUCGGGUGUGAAAGCCCGGGGCUUAACCCCGGGUCUGCAUUCGAUACGGGCUAGCUAGAGUGUGGUAGGGGAGAUCGGAAUUCCUGGUGUAGCGGUGAAAUGCGCAGAUAUCAGGAGGAACACCGGUGGCGAAGGCGGAUCUCUGGGCCAUUACUGACGCUGAGGAGCGAAAGCGUGGGGAGCGAACAGG
rnacentral:rRNA from 1 species